rnacentral:rRNA from 1 species
GAGUUUGAUCAUGGCUCAGGAUGAACGCUAGCGGUGUGCCUAAUGCAUGCAAGUCGAACGGGAUCCUUUGGAUUCGUCUGAAGGUGAGAGUGGCGGACGGGUGAGUAACAGGGAAGGGUGACCUGCCCCGGAGAGGGGGACAACCACUGGAAACGGUGGCUAAUACCCCAGAUGUUAGUGCGCUUAGAAAGCAUUGACUAAAGCUCCGGCGCUCCGGGAGGGGCCUGCGGCCCAUCAGCUUGUUGGUAAGGUAAUGGCUUACCAAGGGAGAGACGGGUAGGGGGCGUGAGAGCGUGACCCCCCACACUGGUACUGAGACACGGACCAGAUACCUGCGGGUAGCAGCAGCAAGGAAUAUUGCCCAAUGGACGAAAGUCUGAGGCACCAACACCGCGUGGAGGAUGAAGGCCUUCGGGUUGUAAACUCCUUUUCUGGGGGAAGAGAAAGGACGGUACCCCAGGAAUAAGUCUCGGCUAACUACGUGCCAGCAGCCGCGGUAAAACGUAGGAGGCAAGCGUUAUCCGGAUUUACUGGGCGUAAAGCGCAUGCAGGCGGUUUACUAAGUCGGACGUGAAAGCUCUCGGCUCAACUGGGGAGAGGCCGUUCGAAACUAGAAAACUUGAGGAUGGGUAGAGGAGAGUGGAAUUCCCGGGUGUAUUGGUGAAUGCGUAGAUAUCCGGGAAGGAACCACCAGUUGGCGGAAGGCGGCUCCUCUGGUCAAUUCCUUGACGCCUCAGAAUGCAAGCUAUGGGGAGAGAAACGGUAAUUAGAA